GUCAGGCGCAUUAGGGGGCGCUAGUAUAAAUAGUGGCCAUCUGAGCGUCGCUUUUCGGUCACCUGACUUGCCCUGGUGUUGCAGAGGUCACCCGCGGGUUUCCUUCCUGACGCCUCCAUCGUGGCAGUGCAGACAUUAUUUCACUCAGUGAUGGCCUGACUCGGCACGUGGGGGUAAACGCUGAGUUUGCCUUCGCCCAAGCAGAGCAGAAAUGUCUCCGCUACGCUCCAGAUCACAUGCAGGAUGCCCAAGAUCAGCCCAAUCCCGGAGUGAACUAAAGUGACCUGUAACAAAACCUUAACCUUAAAAGGUGAUCCAGUUUUUUCUUCUUCCCUUUCCCUCCCUCUUUCUUUCCGCCUUUCUCCCUUUCCUAUCCCCCAGUCUGUCCCAUCUGUAACAACCGAAAAUGAAAUGUUGUAGUGAUGAUGAUGAUGGCCAAUCAAAUGGACUAAUAAGGCCAUGAUGAUCCAGUUGGUGAAGUAAAUCCACCAGGCAUCUUUUUUGGCCUUCUGAUGGCUAAAGAUCCAAAUGGGACAGGCAAAAAAAGCCCUGUCAUCCUCAGAGCAGAGACUGGUAUUGCUGUCUUCUGAGUUCUUCAGUUUCCCAACUGAGACAUUCAAACCUCAUCACAGAGCUCAUGUCCAUCCACACCAUCAUGUGGGUGAGAGAUUGUUAUGUGGCCUGCAGCACCUAUGAGAACACAUUCGUGCCUGUAUUUCAGCUUCUUAUGAUCUACACAAGUGGCCAGAGUGUCAGUGUUUGAUCGCUCUCACAGAACCUGACUUCAGUCACCUCACUCCAGGAAGACAGAGGGCUGCAAGGUGUGUGUGUGUGUGUGUGUGUGUGUGUGGUCUAGAACUAUAGCAAGCUAUAGUUAUACAGUUCAUACAAACACACAGCUCUAAAUCUUGAUCAUGUGAUUAUUAAAUAUCUAUUGAACCAUUUCAUGUAUUUUUAUAGAAGGUACACAACCUCAAAAUGUGAAAGUGUUUAAGAGGAGAAAUAAUGAAAGCUCAAAGUGUGUUUGUAUGAAUCCUUAGUAUCGGGUGUAGAAUAGGUGUAACAGUGGUUUUUCACAUCUGUGCUUACACUGCUCUAAUAAAUAGGAAAUGGGUCACACAUAUAAAGUCUGUUUGAAGAUGAACCUGUGGUUAUCAGAGUGUGGUUAAGAAAGCCUUCAAAAGUUCAUGACAGUCACAUCCAGUGACAUGUGCUUCUGUUUAUCAUUUCAUAUGAGGUCACACAGCUGAGUUCAACCAUAACAUUCAUGCACUUCUAUUUGUGCUUCAGACUCUAUCCAAUCCUUUAAAUCAAGAUUGAAAGCAUACUUAUUUAACCUGGCUUAGGGUCGGGAGACCAGUUAAUACCCAUUUUUAAACUUUUAUUAUUUUUAUUUUAUUAUAAAUUUUCCUGCUGUUUUUAUCUUCUUAGUAGAUAUUUUGUAUUUCUGACCUUCCUCCCUGUAUUGAGGCUUGAUACCUAUUUUACUUAACUUCUCCGGUCUAUAGUGCCUCCAUUCUGUCUGUGCUAGUGCCCAAUCUGUACUUUUGUUGUCUCUUUGUAUUACUGUAAAGCACUUUGGUGUGCCUUUGGGUUUUUAAAUGUGCUAUAUAAAUAAAAUUGUAUUGUAAUGUUA